AAACAAAAGAAAAAAAAAUUAGAAAAACCCUUCUUCUUCUCUCUUGUUGCCGCCUCCCCUCUUCCAUAAAUCCUCCAUGAAAGCUUUUCAUUUAAGCUUACCUUUAAGCUUAAUUUUUCAUUACCCAACCUUAAUAACUCUCAUAAGAACUUCAUUAAAGCUUGUAGUUGCAACUUGAGAAGAGAAUUUCAAGAAGAAAGAGGAGCUAAAGAUAGGGUUUUGAGGAUUUAAGAGAGUGGAAAAGAAUACCGGGAUAGAACCCGAGGAGUCGAGUCAAGGC
rnacentral:misc_RNA from 1 species